rnacentral:piRNA from 1 species
UCCUCCACUGCCAUUGUCAUAAAGCAUGGG